rnacentral:rRNA from 1 species
CCCUUAGAUGCUCUGGGCCGCACGCGCGCUACACUGGUCGAUGCAACGAGUUUCUUUCCUUGGCCGACAGGCCUGGGCAAUCUUUGAACAUCGAUCGUGAUCGGGAUAGAUUCUUGUAAUUUUUGAUCUUAAACGAGGAAUUCCUAGUAAACGCAAGUCAUCAGCUUGCAUUGAUUACGUCCCUGCCCUUUGUACACACCGCCCGUCGCACCUACCGAUUGAAUGGCCCGGUGAAAUCUCCGGACUGGCGUGAGUCGGAGCAAUCUGACAAACACCGGAAAGUUGAUUAAACCUUACCAUUUAGAGGAAGGUGAAGUCGUAACA